rnacentral:rRNA from 1 species
AGCCCUUUGCUAGCUUCGGCUGGCGGGGUACUCGAGUGGCGAACGGGUGAGUAACACGUGGGUGAUCUGCCCUGCACUUCGGGAUAAGCCUGGGAAACUGGGUCUAAUACCGGAUAGGBCCAUCGUUUAGUGUGGGUGGUGGAAAGUUUUUCGGUGCAGGAUGAGCUCGCGGCCUAUCAGCUUGUUGGUGGGGUAAUGGCCUACCAAGGCGUCGACGGGUAGCCGGCCUGAGAGGGUGAACGGCCACAUUGGGACUGAGACACGGCCCAGACUCUACGGGAGGCAGCAGUGGGGAAUAUUGCACAAUGGGCGCAAGCCUGAUGCAGCGACGCCGCGUGGGUGAUGAAGGCCUUCGGGUUGUAAACUCCUUUCAACCAUGACGAAGCGUGAGUGACGGUACCGGUAGAAGAAGCGCCGGCUAACUACGUGCCAGCAGNCGCGGNAAUACGUAGGGNCGAGCGUUGUCCGGAAUUACUGGGCGUAAAGAGCUCGUAGGUGGUUUGUCGCGUCGUCUGUGAAAUCCGGG